rnacentral:rRNA from 1 species
GUAGGAGGCGAGCGUUAUCCGGAUUUACUGGGCGUAAAGCGCACGCAGGCGGCUUCGUUAGUCGGAUGUGAAAGCUCCUGGCUUAACCGGGAGAGGCCAUUCGAUACUGCGAGGCUUGAGGUUGGAAGAGGGGUGUGGAAUUCCCGGUGUAGUGGUGGAAUGCGUAGAUAUCGGGAGGAACACCUGUGGCGAAAGCGGCACCCUGGUCCACACCUGACGCUGAGGUGCGAAAGCGUGGGUAGCAAACAGGAUUAGAUACCCUGGUAGUCCACGCCGUAAACGAUGUCAACUGGGUGUCGGUGGUUUUACACUAUCGGUGCCGAAGCAAACGCGUUAAGUUGACCGCCUGGGGACUACGGCCGCAAGGCUA